GACAGAGGGUGCAAACGUUGUUCGGAAUUACUGGGCGUAAAGCGCGUGUAGGCUGCUCCAAAAGUCGGAUGUGAAAGCCCUGGGCUCAACCUAGGAAGUGCAUUCGAUACUGUGGAGCUGAGUCUGAGAGGUCGGUGGAAUUCCCGGUGUAGCGGUGAAAUGCGUAGAGAUGUGGAGGAACACCGAUGGCGAAGGCAGCCCCCUGGGCCAAUACUGACGCUCAUGCACGAAAGCGUGGGGAGCAAACAGG
rnacentral:rRNA from 1 species